GGCUGAUCCGUUUGCGAAGAAUGAUUGGUACAAUAUCAAGGCACCUUCAGUGUUCGUAGUAAAAAAUGUGGGCAAAACCCUUGUUACUCGCACUUAGGGUACCAAGAGAUUGCCUCUGAAGGGCUCAAACAUAAUCUUUGAGGUAUCAAUGGCUGGUCUUCAAGAUGAUGAGGAUCAUGAAUACAGAAAGAUCAGAUUGAUCAUAUUUGAAGGAGUUGGUUCGCAAGUUCAUCCCAGAGACAAUUGGCAAAGAGAUCAAGAAGGCAACCUCGGACACCUACCCUCUAGAAAUCCUACAUAUGGAAGCUAGCAUGUUAACUUGCCUGUUAUGAUCGUAUGUGUUGGUUCAUGGUGACUAUUCAGAUGAUGUUGGUGUCAAGGUGGAGAGGCCUGCUAAUGAGACUAUGGUGGAGGUGCCUGCUAAACCAGUUGGAGCCUGAAUGUAGGAUUAUGAAGUUGCCUUUUAGCUUUUUCUAUUUUUCUUUGUUUGGCAUGAGAAUUGUGUUGCUCGAUUCUUUUUAUUAUGAAUGUAGUUCUGCGUAUUUUUCAUUAACAAACAAUUUUGGUCUGUUCAAUCAAAGUGGACAACUUGUUGUUUUCAUCCGAAAUGUUUGUUUUAAGAAAGACGCUAUAUAUUACACCUUUUAUCUCACUCUUA